UACGUAGGGUCCGAGCGUUGUCCGGAGUUACUGGGCGUAAAGCGCGCGCAGGCGGCGGUGCUGGCCCGGCGUGAAAGCCCCCGGCUCAACCGGGGAGAGUCGUCGGGGACCGCACCGCUUGAGGGCGGUAGGGGCUGGUGGAAUGCCUGGUGUAGUGGUGAAAUGUGUAGAGAUCAGGCAGAACACCUGGGGCGAAGGCGGCCAGCUGGGCCGUCCCUGACGCUGAGGCGCGAAGGCGUGGGGAGCGAACGGG
rnacentral:rRNA from 1 species